UUCGACAUAAUAAAUCCCUCUCCGUUACAAAACGUCUGUUCAUCUUCUCUCCAAUCUUCUUCCAAGAAUACCAAUCGGUUUCCAUAUCUAACAAUGAAUGUUGUCAACGAAGCUACAUAUAUAGAUGAUUACAUAUUCUUCAGUUUCUUCAUCGAUUUCGUCUUUUUUGUUCAUCGAUUUCAGAAGUUUCGUCGAUCGUCAACCAAAUCUGUAAGGUAAAACAAUGGAUGACACCAAAGCGGUACCAAUGUGGUAAAGUACCGAAAUAUCAGUACCGAUACCGGUACCGUACCGGUACCGAAUCUAUAAAUACGGUACGGUAAUCGGUAUCCACAUUUCCUCAAUUUCGGUAACGUACCGGUACCGGAAUCGUACCGAUCUCAUCCCUAGUGUUUAUGUAAUCUGUGUUUGUGGGUUUUCAAUAUGACUGAAACUUCAUCAAGGUAUUUUUUGUUUUUCAUGUUAUCAUUUGUUUCGAACAAUAACAAUAAC
rnacentral:lncRNA from 1 species